AUGGAGCAGGGGAAGAAGAAGCAGGCGGGGAGGCUGCAGAAGGUCCUGAGGGAGCAGAAGGCCAGGGUCUACAUCAUCCGCCGCUGCGUCGUCAUGCUUCUCUGCUGGAAUGACUAA
rnacentral:rRNA from 1 species